rnacentral:rRNA from 1 species
UACGGAGGGUGCAAGCGUUAUCCGGAUUCACUGGGUUUAAAGGGUGUGUAGGCGGGGCUGGAAGUCAGUGGGGAAAUCUCCGAGCUCAACUUGGAAACUGCCAUUGAUACUAUAGAUCUUGAAUUUUGUUGAGGUAGGCGGAAUAUGUCAUGUAGCGGUGAAAUGCAUAGAUAUGACAUAGAACACCGAUUGCGAAGGCAGCUUACUAAGCAAAUAUUGACGCUGAGGCACGAAAGCGUGGGGAUCAAACAGG